ACUCAAAACCUGUUAAUUUUGAUAUUCUUAUCUUUUAUAUAUACAAAGAGAAAGAGAGUAGGGCUAUAUUAUAUUCUCAUGAAUAUAGAGUUUUUCGUACUGAUAAGUUGUUUUCGAUAAUGGAGCUGCCGAAUCAACGAUCCAUUCUGUUAAAUAUGAUCUAGAGUAUUUGAAACUUCUAAAAAACAACUCUCAUAAUAUUUCGAAAUCAUAAUAAAAUUCAUCAAGCGGGUAUAAAAAGAACGGCCAAAACUGAAGGACGUUCUAAAAAUAGAUAAAAGGAUUCUUCAAUUUAAGAUUAGAAUUAUUGAUCUUUAUUUAGAUAGUGAAUAGAAUUUUAUAUCAAACAUUCAACCAAUUUCGAUUCUUUUACACCGUUAAACUAGUAAGAAUUUCAUAUCGGUCAUUAAAAAUUGUCAAUUUUAAAAUAUUUUGAUCAGAAGGUAAAUAAUGUCAAAAAAAUCAUAAAUUUUGAUUUCUAAAAAUUUUAAAUGCUCUAGAUAACGUUUAAUAGUAUAAAUCGUUGUUUCGGAAGCUCCAUCAUCGAAAGCAAGUUAUGAGUACAAAGACGAUCAUAUACAUAAGAGUGUAGUAGCCGAACUCUCUCUCUCUCUCUC
rnacentral:lncRNA from 1 species